rnacentral:rRNA from 1 species
AGUGGGCGGAAUGUAGCAUGUAGCGGUGAAAUGCAUAGAUAUGCUACAGAACACCGAUCGCGAAGGCAGCUCACUAAGCCAACACUGACGCUCAGGCACGAAAGCGUGGGUAGCGAACAGGAUUAGAUACCCUGGUAGUCCACGCCGUAAACGAUGAUUACUCGUUGUUGGCGACACACAGUCAGCGACCAAGCGAAAGCGAUAAGUAAUCCACCUGGGGAGUACGUUCGCAAGAAUGAAACUCAAAGGAAUUGACGGGGGCCCGCACAAGCGGUGGAGCAUGUGGUUUAAUUCGAUGAUACGCGAGGAACCUUACCUGGGCUCAAAUGCUGGAUGACAGUCCCUGAAAGGGGAUUUUCUUCGGACAUUCAGCAAGGUGCUGCAUGGUUGUCGUCAGCUCGUGCCGUGAGGUGUCGGGUUAAGUCCCAUAACGAGCGCAACCCCUAUCAUUAGUUGCCAUCAGGUAAAGCUGGGGACUCUAAUGAAACUGCCUACGCAAGUAGAGAGGAAGGUGGGGAUGACGUCAAAUCAGCACGGCCCUUACGUCCAGGGCUACACACGUGCUACAAUGGCCGGUACAGAGGGCAGCCACCCCGCGAGGGGGAGCGAAUCUCGAAAGCCGGUCUCAGUUCGGAUCGAAGUCUGCAACCCGACUUCGUGAAGCUGGAAUCGCUAGUAAUCGCGCAUCAGCCAUGGCGCGGUGAAUACGUUCCCGGGCCUUGUACACACCGCCCGUCAAGCCAUGGAAGCUGGGGGUACCUGAAGUCGGUAACCACGCCACCGGCGUGGAGCUGCCUAGGGUAAAACCAGUGACUGGGGCUAAGUCGUAACAAGGU